UACCUGGUUGAUCCUGCCAGUAGUCAUAUGCUUGUCUCAGAGAUUAAGCCAUGCAAGUCUAAGUACGAGCUC
rnacentral:ncRNA from 1 species